rnacentral:rRNA from 1 species
CCUACGGGUGACAGCAGUGAGGAAUAUUGGUCAAUGGGCGGAAGCCUGAACCAGCCAAGUAGCGUGCGGGAUGAAGGCCCUACGGGUCGUAAACCGCUUUUGCACGGGGAUAACACCCUCCACUUGUGGAGGUCUGCAGGUACCGUGCGAAUAAGGGCCGGCUAAUUCCGUGCCAGCAGCCGCGGUAAUACGGAGGGCCCGAGCGUUAUCCGGAUUUAUUGGGCUUAAAGGGAGCGUAGGCGGGCGCUUAAGUCAGGUGUGAAAGUGGGCGGCUCAACCGUGGCACUGCAGUUGAAACUGGGUGCAUUGAGUGCACAACAGGCAGGCGGAAUUCGUGGUGUAGCGGUGAAAUGCAUAGAUAUCACGAGGAACCCCGAUUGCGAAGGCAGCCUGCCGGGGUGCAACUGACGCUGAGGCUCGAAAGUGCGGGUAUCAAACAGGAUUAGAUACCCCUGUAGUC